rnacentral:rRNA from 1 species
CCUACGGGCGGGUAGCAGUGGGGGAUAUUGCACAAUGGGGGGAACCCUGAUGCAGCGACGCCGCGUGUGUGAAGAAGCGCCUCGGCGCGUAAAGCCCUGUCAGCAGGGAAGAAAAUGACGGUACCUGAAGAAGAAGCCCCGGCUAACUACGUGCCAGCAGCCGCGGUAAUACGUAGGGGGCAAGCGUUAUCCGGAUUUACUGGGUGUAAAGGGGGCGCAGACGGCGAUGCAAGCCAGGAGUGAAAGCCCGGGGCCCAACCCCGGGACUGCUCUUGGAACUGCGUGGCGGGAGUGCAGGAGGGGCAGGCGGAAUUCCUGGUGUAGCGGUGAAAUGCGUAGAUAUCAGGAGGAACACCGGUGGCGAAGGCGGCCUGCUGGACUGCAACUGACGUUGAGGCCCGAAAGCGUGGGGAGCAAACAGGAUUAGAUACCCCAGUAGUC